rnacentral:tRNA from 1 species
GUCUUCGUAGCUCAGUUGGUUAGAGCGUCUGACUGUUACUCUUCUCAGCCCGCCCCCCCUACGGCGGCGCAAAAGGACUUGUUGCAAAGUCAGCCUAAUGGAUCUCGCUUUGACGGAUCCUGUGCAUUGUUUGGAAAGACAUGGCACAUCAGGAGGUCGACAGUUCGAACCUGUCCGAGGACG